rnacentral:rRNA from 1 species
UACGGGGGGCGCAAGCGUUGUUCGGAUUUACUGGGCGUAAAGGGCGCGUAGGCGGUCAGCACAAGUCAGUUGUGAAAUCUCCGAGCUUAACUCGGAAAGGUCAACUGAAACUGUGCGACUAGAGUGCAGAAGGGGCAACUGGAAUUCUUGGUGUAGCGGUGAAAUGCGUAGAUAUCAAGAGGAACACCUGCGGCGAAGGCGGGUUGCUGGGCUGACACUGACGCUGAAGCGCGAAAGCCAGGGGAGCGAACGGG